CAUAGGCUGGAUGGAUCUAGCCAGGGCGGUAACCGCCUACUGCUAGCUGAGGAGCAGUGGGCUGUGCGACAAUAGAGGUCUAAAAAGCACGGACACGGGGAUGGAAAGGCAGGGGUACACAUACGGGGAUACGGAACACAUCAUUUUCCAAAAACAGCCAUUUGGGGAUAUGGUCGGUAUAUAUAAAAUAAAAUAAAUAUAUGCCAUUUAAUAUAGAGUUAAUACAGAAAAUUAAAGAGAAAGAGAGUAGAAUAGAGAAUACUGCCCCAUUCGUUGUCUCUUUUGUCAAGUGCUUGAUUGAUCCUUGUCCCCCAUGUCAUUGCAAGUUGCGUCUUGCAGAACACAUCAAACAGUAAAGAAGAUUAGAAGAGUAGAACACAUAACCGGAGGACUAUACAAUCACAUGAAAACAGGAAAGAUGUUUGCUUUGCUUACCCAAUUUGCAAUGCCAUUUGAGCUCCUAAUUGCAGAAUGGUUUAACAAUCUCAACACCGUAUUGCAAAUACAAACAAUAACAAAUUGACAAGCUCACAUAGACAUAGUCUAGCAGUCCCCACUAAGAACAUGACAAAUAGGAGCAUAACAAGGUUCAGAUGGGCAGAUGGCCGCAGAGUCUCAAACAGUUCAAAUGGGAAAUAGGCAGUUCAUAAGUACAUUACAUAACAUUAAAACAUAAAUGGAGAGAAUGACUGAUGAUCUCAUUCUCUCAUGGAGUGAAUGGCAGUAGACUCAAACUCAAGUGAGAGAAUAAAUGAUUUCCUCCUCCAAUUCUGGUCCAUCAAGUGAAAGAUCUGCAGAUUCAAGCAUGCCAACACCAGCAGAAGUCUCAACUCCAUCUCCCCCAACAUCCCACAUUCGGCUUGGCCCAGUUUGAUAUGCUUGAGAAUUCCUUGAAAGAAGGCGAUGGUUGUUGUGUGUGUACACCAAAUCAGCAGCUCGAUCAGGUGUUAGCUUGUUUCUUGCAGCACUAUGGAUGAAACCAUAUGUGCUCCAAUUCCUUCCACAGCAAGAGGAGGAUGCAGGCUGCCCAAGUACCUUCCAUGCUAAAUUUUUCAAUAGCUUUGUGCUGACUCCAUGAGUGCGCAACCAUUGUUUAGGUUCAAAAUCAGCUCUAUCUUCAAUAGAAUCUGGGUUUUCGUAGGCAUUCAUGAAAAGAGCAAAAUCAGCAAAUUCCUUCUUGAUGGUUUUGAAAUCCUCUUGACCUGGAUAGAACUUUCAAAAGCACUUGUUUCUCAUUUCCGUAACUUCAUGGCCAUCAUUGGGGCUGAUACGGCCAGGGACUUCAUUAAUCCAAGCUGGUGUAUAGCACCUAUGAUAUGAAGUAAAUAAAAUCAGCAAGCAUGAAACACCAACAUCUGUGAUCUAUGUAUCACUUUAGAAGUUCAGAAUUCAGAUUAUACCUUGGGUUUAGUGAGUGAGCUGGACACUGCAAAGGGGUAUUGCUCUUGGUCCAACGGGAAACAAGGAUCUCUUUAAUUAUGUCAUACUCCCUCCGUCUCAAAAUUCUUGUCUUAGAUUUGUCUAGAUAUAAAUGUAUCUAGUCACAGUUUAGUAUUUAGAUACAUCCAUGUCUAGACAAACCUAAGACAAAAAUUUGGGACGGAGGGAGUACAAGAUACACUCUUCACCAUGCUCCUUUCCUUCAAACCGAUAGAUAGGUAUUUUGACCUAUGAAGAAAAGAACAAAUAAAAUCAGAAUGUUCCACAAAUGGAAAAAACAUGCUCCACAAAUCAAAACAGCAUGCAAAUCAAUUGAAAGAUGCUUGAAGGCUUGAAGCAACUAAUCGUUUACCUUUUCUAUCAUGGAAUCCCACAUUUCAUAGAUCAAAUGGAGGCAUGGCUUGUCCGUGUCAGCCAACCUUAUGAUUGCAUAAAUAGGCUCGGUGAAAGAAACAAUGUAUUCAAUUCUAUCCCACCAAAUAUCAUUGAGAACAAGCUCCUUCACCCUCUGAGCUUUAGCUAUAUCAUCAUCCCUAUAAGCAGCCCAAUUAGGAUGGACAACCAUUUCAACAAGUGCAUCCUUGAUUAAUAGAAGCCUCUUGAGCAUGAUCACGACACCUGCGAAUCUAGUUUCUGCUGAAGGAACUUGAGUUUGCUAAACUCGUUGAACAUAGACAACCUCAUGCCCUGAUUCAUGACGAAGUUCUUAAUAAAAGAAGCAUCAUCAGUCGCCUCUUUGAUGAACCAAAGAUGGAAAUUGUCGCCCUCGUUGUUUUUUGGAUCACAUAUGUUCUUCAAUGCAAGAUUGAGAGUGUGCACAAUGCAAGGUGUCCAGAAGAUGUUCUUGUACUUUGCUUCAAUCAUCAACCCAGCAGCUUUGCAAUUUGCAGCAUUGCCGGUCACCACUUGAACCACACACUCAACUCCAACUUCCUCAAUCACUUCCUUCAGCUUCUCAAAGAUGUAUUCCUUGCUUUUUAUCUAGCAAUGAAGAUAACCACACAAGUCAGCGAGCAAUAUAUGCAACAAAGAGGACCAAGUAAAUUAUGCAGGUGCAAAGAAUUUACCUCUCCCUCGGUGUCAAUUGCCUUUAGGAACAUUGGACCACCUUUUGUCACAGCCAUGAAGUUUAAAAUGGGUCGCCUUUGAGGAUCAGACCACCCAUCCGUCGCAAUGGUCACUCCUUUGUUAGGCCAUGUUGAUUUAAUAGGCUCUAGGCUCCUCUGAAUGUGCUUCUUCUCUUGAUCAAGAAGAGUCGUCCUCAAUGAAUUAUAUCCUGGAGGCACGUACCCACCCAAGCUACUGUUUGCAAUGAAGGUGAUGGCUGCCCUAAAGUCAGGGUUCCUUGCAAGAUUGAAUGGAAGUCCUGCAAAUGAGUAAAUCGACAUUCAACAAAUCAGCAACACAUAAAUUUAAGUAUUUAACCAUGCUGGACAAGAAAAGAAAGGAGUGUUAUACAAAAUCACACACCUGCAGUAUAAAACAUUCUAGCAACAUGAGCAUCAACUUGUUGUGGGAUCUCUGCGUUAAAACUCUCUUCAAUAGUUGUUUGUUUUCUUUUUCUUGUUGGAGCAGAAGCAUUAAUGGGAGGUAAAUGAAUUGUUUGCUUGGUUGAACCAUGUUCAAUGAGUUGUUGGGCAGCCAAGCAAGGCUCCUGGCGCUGGGGUAGCAAUCGCCGGUCGAUUCCAAGCGUUGCAGGCGGCGGCGCGUUCCAGCAGGUGUCAGCUUCGAUCUAGAAGAGAAUGGGACCUGGGAGUUCCUCGUUGUUAUGUGGAGAACUGCGUGCGACCCUUGCAAAAUAGGGUUUUGUUUUGGGCCAAGGCUGUGUUUUGGGCUGUUUUUGGGCCGGGCCGUAUCGCUACCGUGCCCCUUAUGAUUCCUGCGUAUCCCUUAUUUUUUUUCUUUUUUAAAUCGAUCAUCAGGGGAUACUGCGGGAUACGUGUAUCCCGCCGUAUUAGGACGGCCAAUCAGCAAUUCCUGCCGUGUCCGUGCUUUUUAGGUAGAGGUACAACCAAGGCAGGUCCUCUGGCGGCAACAACACCUCAGGCAACAACAACUCUUGCCGUGGCAUUGGUUGACGGUGCUCCCGCACUACGUGCGUCGGCUGAUGCAAAAGUCAAGGUCAGAUGAGAAGUGGCGGCUGCAAGAAGUGCCACUAUUGUGGAAAGCUAGGCCACUGGCUCAUGAUUGCCGCAAGAAGCAGGCGGAGGCUCACCUGGUGCAGGCCGACGAGGUGUCAACGCCGUUGCUGAUGCAGGAGUGCACAACGCACCUUGCCACAACAGGACAAAGUCUUGUCAUGGUAGCGGAAUCUCCCCAAAAGAUCGCCAUGACAACUUCCCUUGUAGCAGACAUCACGGUAGGAAUCCUGCCAUGGCAUGGCUUUUGCCCCGAAUGGCUGCCAUGGUAGUGAUAGAUAGAGUACAAGUGCUUCUUCUUUGAUGAAGAGUGAGCUCGCAUCAAACUUCGGCAUGCCCCUGGUGAUGUUGAUGUGCCUUGGUACCUUGACACCGGUGUGUUAAACCAAAUGACUGGCAACGUGUCUGUCUUAGUCGGACCACAUGAAGUGGUACAGUGGAGGGCACGGUGAAGUUAGGUGACGAAUCUAUGGUGGAGAUAUGUGGAUGAGGCAUGAUCCUGUUUGCCAUGGUGGUUAGCUACCACCGCGGAUUGAAGAACGUGUAUUGAAUUUUUCGUCCAAAGAGCAACAUCGUCAGCAUUGGACACGAGAUUGGCCACUCGACGUACGUGGAGCAUGCCGACAUGGCAGUGCGUGAUCGGCGAAAGAACCUCCUUGACAAAGCGUCCACUAAGCAUAUGUACACCAUUCGUCUGAUCAAGCCGGUGUGCCUGGCAGCGAGCGAGAGCUACGAUGAGGGCUGGCGCUAGCACGGGAGGUUUGUAUAUUGCACUUCUACGGGCUCAAGAGGAUGGUACAUAGUGGCAGGGUGAUCGACUUCCUUGUGUUCGACCACGCAAAGUAGACAUGUGACGCCUGCUUGGUCGGAAAGCAGCAAUGGUCCCUAUUCCCGCAACAAGCCAAGUUUUGGGUUGCGGAGCUAUCGGAGCUUGUCCCUGGCGACAUCCGUGGACUGAUAUCACCGGCGAUGCCCGGUGAGAAACGCUACCUCCUCCUAUGGACGACUACAACCGUUACCCUUGGUUGGUGUUGCUUCGCUCCAAGGACAAGGCCGCCAACGCCAUUCGCCGUUACGUGCCCGCUGUUGAGUUCGUGUCACACGGUACACACUUUUCGGACGGAUCACGACGAGGAGUUCACAUGCACCACCUUUGCCGAGUGUUGCGUGGGCCAUGGCAUCCGGUGGCGCCUCACAGUGCCAUUCAUGCCGCAACAAAAAGGCGUCAUCGAGCGUCAGAAGCAUACUAUCAUGGGCAUGAGGAGGAACAUGCUCAAAGCGAAGGUAGUGCCUCCCGUCUACUAGGGUGAGGCCGUCACGGUUUCUUCAUCCUGAAAAGCUCAUGCAUGUGUUGUUUGUCUCAAAAGAUGCCAUUCUAGGCUUGGCAUGGACGCAAGCUGUACAUGUAUUUUGUCUGACACUUUUAGUUGGGUCGCACACGUCAAGGAUAUGCACCCACAUCUCUAGAAGCCCGUGGACAAGAGCAAGCCCAUGGUGCUCCUCGGGUACGAGGCUAGUGGCUAGGCAUACUAUGUCUUCGAUCUGGCGGCAAAGCGUGUGCAUGUCACACGCAACGUCGUCUUUGACCAACGGGCAAGCUGGGAUUGGGUGUGAGGAGCAGCCCGCAAGCACGUCCUUGGCACCUCACCGUCGAGUAAUUGGCGCCCAACACGCCCAAGGAGACGCGACGCACCAGAUGUCGUGGAGGACCUGGGCGAGGCGCCUGGUAUGAUAACGGAUCCUGGCAGAACCGUUGUCAUGUUAGUAGAAAAGACUGCUAUGGCACUAGUUUCGCACGAAAGUGCUGUUACUGCAUCCGUUUCACCCAAGAAUUUUGCCAUGUUAGCAUCGGCGGCAACGACGACCGCAACUAUUACCACGACAACAAGAAGCGGUUCCACGACAACCCUUUUGCCCCAAUUGGUUAACAUGAUAGACCUUGACUUGGCGAAUCUGUCAUUCGGCAUACUACCCUCGUUGCUGCCAGCACGUAUGCACUUGAUGACUAUGCGCGGGGAUGACGGUUUUAUGCAGCCCAAUAUGCAGUUCAAUAGCAAUGUCAUUGCCGAUGACGGAGAAGAGCUGCACCUCGACACGACCGAGGAGCCUGCCAAGCACGACCUAACGACAUGCCUUGGACGAGGAGAUGGCGUCCAUUGAGGAAAAACGUACAUGGCUCCCAUAGGCCUGAAGUGUGUGUACAAGGUCAAGAACACGGGCACGGUGUGGUGCUGCGGCACAAGGCACACUUUGUGGCAAAGGGUUAUGUGCAGUGCGAGGGGGGUGGACUAUGAUGAAGUGUUCGCCCCUGCGGCUUGUCUCGAGUUUGUGCGGCUCUUGCUAGCUCUGGCAACAUGCGCCGCUGGGACGUGCACCACAAGGCCGUAAAGUCCACCUUCCUGACCGACAAACUUCAGGAGGAGGUGUACAUUGCACAAUGCUGGGAUACGCCUUUUCUGGACAAGAGGGGAAAGUGCUAUGCCUUAACAGGCUCGACGCACUGAAGCAAGUGCCACGUGCUUGGAACCAAAAGUUUGAUCGUUCUCACUCGGUUUCGAGCGGAGCGCCAGAGAGCACGCAGUCUAGGUUCGCGGCACCACCAUGUCUCGUCUGCUUGUUGGCGUCUAUGUCGUCAUGGGCUUGGACGUCGGGAAACUGAACACUUCAAGGAGCAUUUAUAGUCAAUCUCUUUCUAUAUAUGUAAAGUCAAGAAAUUCUCAUCGAAACAUCUAGAGAUUGUGCAUAUAGAAAACUCUUAAGGAAAGAAAAAAAAGAGAUCCAUGCCAUGAUUUUCAAAUCUUUUCUAUUUAGUAGUCUAAGUUUCUCGCUGAGGGUAAUUAAUUCAGUCGCUGUUGUUGGACUCUAUUACGGAGUUCUGAUUGCCAACACACUGAACUGGGGUUGUCACUACUCAUGGGGAAGCGGUGACGAGUACCUCGUCUGCUACAGCGACAAUGUCAUGACCGGUGAUCCUAACACUCGUCUGACCGCUCUGUCGCCAUGUUCUCUCCUAUGCCAACAAUGUUAACAGCUGGCUGUCGCUCAAAUAGAAUGUAGUGCCUUUGUCGUUGUACGAAGCAGAGUACUUAGCUGCCACCGCGGCAGUGUGCUAAGGAAUUUGGCUCACUUGGUUCCUCAAUGAACUGAAGGAGGAGCCAGCCUGCGUUAAACUCUACAUUGACAACUAAUCUGACAUCUCAUUUGCUAAAAAUCCAGUUUUCCACAACCAAAGCAAUCACAACGACGGAGAAGCCACGAAGGUUGAGGUGAAGUUCGUUGGCACCAACGGACAGCUCGUCGACAUUCUCAUCAAAGCUCUUGGGAGUGUUUGCUUCAUGGACCUUCCUGCAAAGAUCGGCAUGGUCGAAGUUGACAAUGGCACAUGCUUUAGGGGUGAUAUUUUUGGGAUAAACCCCGUGGCCUGUCACAUUCUUUUCCUUCUGUUUUCCCCUUUCACAUAAAAUAACGCAGGGGUCGUCAUGGGUUUGCUUGCGAGCUAGUCUAGCGGUGCCAUGAGCUGCGCGAGGUGAUCCUAGAGUGGCCAGAUGGCACGACUUGCAUGAGGGGCAAAAUCGCUUCACUCUCGGUCUUUUCUGUCGGAGUUUGUUAGCCACAAAUAAGCAAUGGCAAGUAUCAGAAAAGCUGUGAGAUGGCACAAAUCGCAUGAGGGGCAAAAUCGCUUCACUCUUAGUCUUUUCUGUUGGAGUUUGUUAGCCACAAAUAAGCAAUGGCAAGAAUCAGAAAAGCUGCGGAAGUUUGAGCAGUGCUAAACCACAUGUGUCAUCGUCUUGCUCGGUCAUCUCUCUCUCACGCGUGUGUUUGUCAGGAAGCAAAUAGGGUGUUGACACAUGCACACAUGAGUGCACUGGCGUGCCCAUGAAAUACUGAAGUGCACACUCAUUUUCUUGCUCGAAGUGGAGGUUCUGGAUUGAAUUAUUCUUUUAUGAGGGUACUAAGAGGUAAAAUAUAAUAUUUUUUGUUGGUACGGUUU